rnacentral:misc_RNA from 1 species
UACGGAGGAUCCAAGCGUUAUCCGGAAUCAUUGUGUUUAAAGGGUCCGUAGGCGGGAUAAUAAGUCAGCGGUGAAAGUCUGCAUCUCAACUGUAGAAUUGCCAUUGAUACUGUUGUUCUUGAGUGCUUAUGAAGUGGUUAGAAUAUGUAGUGUAGCGGUGAAAUGCAUAGAUAUUACAUAGAAUACCGAUUGCGAAGGCAGAUCACUAAUAAGAUACUGACACUGAUGGACGAAAGCGUGGGUAGCAAACAGG